CACACGCACACACACACACACACACCCUGUCACACAUUUCUUUAAGCCAAUAGCACUCAAACUUGAUUGACUGUGCAAGAGGAUUACCUGGAGGGCUUGGAAGUGACAUAAACAGAAGCAGGCAGAUAGAAAUGCCGCUGCGCAGAGUCCACAACACUUGAAUAUUUCGAUUGAGAAGCAGCCCUAACAGACUAAGACGAAUACUAACUGAGGACCCACCAGACUUGGAGAAAUAAACCCCUUUUGACUGAGCCAAC